GAUUUCAAUUGAAAAAAAUCAUCAACAACAAAGUUGUAUAACUCAUCAAGAUGUAUAACUUUUAUUUUGGUCAUUUCUUCAUCCGAUAAAGUGAUAGUAACAUUGUUUAUAAAAUUUACAUAUCUCUCAUUUGGUUUUAUAAACUAUAAGAGAGAGAUGUAAAUUUUGUGAACAAUAUUACUAUCACUUUGUCGGAUGAAGAAAUGACCAAAAUAAAAGUUGUAUGUCUUGAUGAGUUCUACAACUUUUAUGUUCAUGACUUUUUCAGCUGAAAUU
rnacentral:pre_miRNA from 1 species